UACGUAGGGUGCAAGCGUUAAUCGGAAUUACUGGGCGUAAAGCGUGCGCAGGCGGCUAUGCAAGACAGAUGUGAAAUCCCCGGGCUCAACCUGGGAACUGCAUUUGUGACUGCAUCGCUGGAGUGCGGCAGAGGGGGAUGGAAUUCCGCGUGUAGCAGUGAAAUGCGUAGAUAUGCGGAGGAACACCGAUGGCGAAGGCAAUCCCCUGGGCCUGCACUGACGUCAUGCACGAAAGCGUGGGGAGCAAACAG
rnacentral:rRNA from 1 species